CCUACGGGGUGCAGCAGUGAGGAAUAUUGGUCAAUGGGCGCGAGCCUGAACCCGCCAAGUCGCGUGAGGGAAGACGGUCCUAUGGAUUGUACACCUCUUUUGUCGGGGAGCAAAAGACGCCACGCGUGGUGUUCCGAGAGUACCCGAAGAAAAAGCAUCUGCUAACUCCGUGCCAGCAGCCGCGGUAAUACGGAGGAUGCGAGCGUUAUCCGGAUUUAUUGGGUUUCAAGGGUGCGCAGGCGGAAGAUCAAGUCAGCGGUAAAAUUGAGAGGCUCAACCUCUUCGAGCCGUUGAAACUGGUUGUCUUGAGUGAGUGAGAAGGAGGCGGAAUGCGUGGUGUAGCGGUGAAAUGCAUAGAUAUCACGCAGAACUCCGAUUGCGAAGGCAGCAUACCGGCGCUCAACUGACGCUCAUGCACGAAAGUGUGGGUAUCGAACAGGAGUAGAUACCCGUGUAGUC
rnacentral:rRNA from 1 species